rnacentral:RNase_P_RNA from 1 species
CAGGGCAAGCGGAUAGCCGCUCCGGUUAUACCGGAGAGGAAAGUCCGGACUCCUCCUGUCCCUUAUUAGGGGCAGGGUCGCGGCAGUGGGUAAUACCCACCGGUUUGGAUUUCAAAUAUCGUUUUUGAUAUUUGAUUUUCGGAUUAGGGAAAGUGCCACAGAGACAAUACUACUCCGGUUUUACCGGAGCAAAGGUGAAAAGUGUUAAGGUGUAUAAAUUACUAAGGAUAUCCUUAAUUUAUGCUGCUUAACUCGCCCUCUGGCGACAGAGCGCGCGCGGCAAACCCUGCCUGGAGCAAGAGCAAACCUUUCGGCGAUGCCGGAAGAUGAAAAGUGGCUCGCAUGAGCCUAAAAGCAAUUUUAGGCCCAGAUAAAUGGCUAUCGUCCCAUUACGGGAUACAGAAUCCGGCUUAUAGCUUGCCUUGAUAU